rnacentral:rRNA from 1 species
AUGCAGCCCGCCGCCUCCCACGUGACCUCCACUCUCCGCCGCCGCCUCCUCUCCGCCUCCCGGCGGCCUCCCUGCCUCCCCCCUCCGACCUCCCCGCCCGUCUCCCGCGGAGCCGUGACGGAGGAGAGGGACCCAUGGAGCUCGCCGGCGACCACCUCGAGCUGCUCCCCCACCGCCCCGCCGCCGGCUGCUGCUCCCGCCCCCCGCCCCCUCUCCGCUCCCGUCGCCGGGAACUGGCCGCACCACCAGCUCCACCGCCUCAACGUCCCCGACCACCAGGUUGAUGCUAUGAGGGUAGGACUCCGAAGUCUGACCAGCACUUCCGUUUCAACCAGAGUCGCCUACAGCCACAGGUGCUCCAAUGCAUAUUCGACUUGUUGCGCCCCAAAGCGAGAAGUGAUACCAGUGGAAACACCCUCAUCGGAUAUGCUUGUCGAUUCGUUCGGGAGGUUCCACAACUACUUGAGGAUCUCCUUGACCGAGCGCUGUAAUCUGAGAUGUCAGUACUGCAUGCCUGCCGAAGGAGUCGAGCUCACACCAAAGUCAGAGCUUCUGUCACAUGACGAGAUAAUCCGAAUUGCCAAUCUUUUUGUUAUUUCUGGUGUCGACAAGAUCAGGUUAACUGGUGGAGAACCAACCGUUAGAAAAGACCUGGAAGAUAUUUGUUUGCAUCUUUCUGGCCUCAAGGGGCUGAAAACUCUUGCGAUGACCACAAAUGGGAUCGUCCUUUCCAAGAAGCUCCCGAGACUGAAAGAAUGUGGUCUUAACGCUUUAAAUAUUAGCUUGGACACAUUGAUUCCUGCAAAGUUUGAGUUCAUGACGAGGCGUAAAGGGCACUCGAAGGUCAUGGAAUCAAUAGAUACUGCCAUACAACUUGGAUAUGACCCCGUCAAGGUUAACUGUGUUAUCAUGCGUGGAAUGAAUGAUGAUGAAAUCUGCGAUUUUGUUGAAUUGACUAGACACAAGCCUAUUAAUGUUCGAUUUAUUGAGUUUAUGCCAUUUGAUGGUAAUGUUUGGAAUGUCAAGAAGCUGGUCCCUUAUGCAGAGAUACUGGAUAAAGUGCGUCAACAUUUCAAAGGUGUAGAGAGACUUCAAGAUCACCCUUCAGACACCGCAAAGAAUUUCAAGAUUGAUGGGCAUGCUGGAACAAUUUCAUUUAUUACAUCAAUGACAGAGCAUUUUUGUGCUGGUUGCAAUAGAUUGCGAUUAUUGGCUGAUGGCAACUUCAAAGUGUGCUUAUUUGGCCCCUCGGAGGUGAGCUUGAGAGAGCCUAUACAUUCUGGUAUUGAUGAUGCUGGACUGAAGGAAAUAAUUAGUGCUGCGGUUAAAAGGAAAAAAGCUAAACAUGCUGGGAUGUUUGAUAUUGCGAAGACAGCAAAUAGACCUAUGAUACAUAUCGGUGGCUGA